UAGAAGAGGGCGUUCGCGUGUUUUGGAUCCCAUCAGGGAAGUGCAGUGCAGCAAGCGGCAGAGAGAGAUGGAAGAUGUGCUCACCGAGAUCCCUCCGCCCUCGCGAUUCUUCCAAGAAGACCUCGACAACUUCGCCAUCCCGUCUCCCCCGCUCCCCUCCCCUUUCCUCCUCCUGAACCAUAACCCAAACCCUAAUCUCCUCCGCCCCUCCCUCCUCGUAAUCGCCAUCUCGGCUCCAUCCAUCGCCCUCCUCCACCGCAUCCCCCACAAAACCCUGAUCGGAACCCUAAUCCUCCCGGAGAUCCCCCUCUCCGGCAACUGCCUCGCGCCCUCCCCCCGCGACCGCUCCUGCAACAUCUACGCCGUCGACCGACCGGCGUCGUCGCCGCCGGCUGUCCUCGUCUCUGUCCAGUACCCAGUCACCGCUGAGAGGUCCCGCACCGUCGCGAAGUCUCUUCUCGGCGAGAUCCGUGCGGAGACAGUUCUGAUCUUGGAUUCGAUCCGGAGGCAGAACUACCGGGAGAGGUUGGCGGUGGACGAGGCGCAGGUCUUCAAGCUGGAAACCUCGGAGCAGAGGUGUGGAGGGGAUCCGGCGGUGGUGCGGGGGGUUGAGUACCUGCCGUCGGGGAGUGUGAUGGACGGCCUGGGGGCGGCGAUCCUCGGGGAGUGCCAGAUGAGGAGGUCCAAGGGCACGCUGCUCGCGACGUGGCCGGACAAGGGGCGCCCGCCGGUGGCGCUGCUGCUGAGGUCUCUGCUGCAAGACUUGGGCUUUGAGAUUGGUGAGGCGGAAGUGGAGGAGAAUUUUGCUGGAUUUGGGGUUUCUGCUCGUUAUGAUUCGGAUUUGUAUACCUGAGAGAAGCGCAAUUAUGUCGAGGAGAUGAAAGACAAGACUUGUGAUGUAUAUGAGGGCUAAUAUCAGAUGAUGAUCACCACCAUGGAGUUGGAGUUACCCAAAUCGGCGGCAUGAGAAAAUCUGGAGCCUCUUAGUAAGGACAAGGAUUUACGAAGCAACUUCUCUAAUUGUUUGGGGGUUUUGCUGGAGGAAUCUGGAUAAUAUUACUGCUCUCUUAUAGUUCCUUGUUUUAGGAGACAAUGUGAGGGAACCCUUUCUUUAAGUAUCGAUGUCAGAAGAUGAAUCUGUUAUGCCUAAGAAGUCCACAGUUGAUGAUUUGAUCCAUGUGCUCAAGGUUGUUUGAGGUGGAGACGUCUUGUGUUGUUUCAAUGAUCUGGAUUCCACAUAUAAAUGGUCAAGUGUUCUUUCUCUUGGCUCAUCUAUAUAGGCAGAUUGAACAGGGAUUACAUAUAUCAGCAUUGGACACUGCAAGACACUUUACAUCCACCACAAAAUGUGUCUUCAGAUACCGAAGUUCAAUUCUAGGAACAACACUGAAUGAAAUUGGCAUCUUGAGUCCAUUAACCAGACCACUGCCAUUGAAGUGCAAACUCAGCAUUUUAAAUAUGAAGAAACAAUUUCACUCUGUACAUAUAUGGACAAUAAGUGGGCCUGUCAGAGUAAAUCACCGGUUGGCUUGGAAGCAAUUAGAAAAGAAAAAUGUGCCCUUCUUAUGUGAAUCUGGAUCAUCGAACUUUUACUGCCAUUUUCUGUAUUAGGACUGAUGUAGACAACUUUGCAUUCACCCUUGUUUAUUUUUCUGGAAAAUGCGUCAAACCUAAAGUGCCCUAACCAUGGAUCAGCAGAGAAAUCUUAACUUGUCAGUCAUUCAUGGCAGGAUGGUAUGAGAUGGUUUAUAUGAAGGUGGUGCAUAGAAGUCUUGGAUUGAUGUAAAUCUAGUGCUGAACAGCAAUCCCAUAUAAGGUUGUUAAACCCAAAGUAGCAUGGAAUAGGAACACACAAGGUGCCUUUUCUGUGCGAGAGUGAAACGCGUCCUCCUUGUUGGAUUCUUCACAAUGGUCUUCCAUGUGCCCGUUCUCUUUUUUUCCCUUUCAUACAUGUUGGUGCUAAUAGCAACUUAGCAAGUUACUUUAAUCUAAUGCAGUUGGACGAUGAAUGUGAAAGUUGGAGAACGGACCUAUGAAGUUUCUCAUUUUCUCAAAAUAAAGAAAAGGGAAAAGCAAAUGAUUUUUCCUUCUUUCCCUCUCUGGAUAUCUCUGCAAAUUGUUUUCUUCGUGGCUGUCAAGGAACCAUAAAGUCAUACAAAUAAUGCAAUUCAGAUUCUAAAAUAGCAUUUUGUUGUGGAAUAAAUGUUGAAAGGGAUAUCUUGUGUACUGUUGGAGGAUAAACUUAUUAUACAGAAUAAGAGUGUGGGCAUCUGAUUGGAGGAAGAAAAUGAGGUACAUUUAACACGCAUUAGAUUUCGAGAUGCUUCUAAUUUUACUGGAAAGAUGAAAUUAUUUUUUUACCUUUUUAUGUGUUUUUAAGAGUGGAUAAGGGCGAAAUGGUAU